rnacentral:rRNA from 1 species
UACGGGGGGGCAAGCGUUGUUCGGAAUUACUGGGCGUAAAGGGCUCGUAGGUGGCCAACUAAGUCAGACGUGAAAUCCCUCGGCUUAACCGGGGAACUGCGUCUGAUACUGGAUGGCUUGAGUUUGGGAGAGGGACGCGGAAUUCCAGGUGUAGCGGUGAAAUGCGUAGAUAUCUGGAGGAACACCGGUGGCGAAGGCGGCGUCCUGGACCAACACUGACACUGAGGAGC